ACCCGCUGAACUUAAGCAUAUCACUAAGGGGAGGAAGAGAAACUAACAAGGAUUCCCUCAGUAACGGCGAGUGAAGCGGGAAGAGCUCAAGCAUUGGAAUCUCCACAAGCUUCUUUUUUGUGGCGAGUUGUAGUCUUUAUGGGUUGCGGGCCGUCGCAUGUCUUUGUGAUGGUGCAUGUUGUUCGCAAUGUGCAUUGUUGUUUGGCGCAGCACCGAGUUUCCUUGGAAGAGGACACCGGAGAGGGUGAGAGUCUCGUUGGUGCUACUUUAUUUGCGCUGAUGUGCGGUGUGUGGUCCGUUUAUUCUCUUGAGUCGGGUUGUUUGGGAAUGCAGCCCAAAGCCGGGUGGUAAACUGCAUCCAAGGCUAAAUACUGGCACGAGACCGAUAGCGAACAAGUACCGUGAGGGAAAGAUGAAAAGCACUUUGAAAAGAGAGUUAAACAGUACGUGAAACCGUUGACAGAGAAUCGCUUGCAGCUAGCAGAGACUGGGCGCGCCUUGUGAUCAGGGCUUUUGGUGUGGUGUGUGAUGAUAGUGCGGGGGGUGUAUUGUGUACUUGUUGCACAUGCGCCGCUGCGUUGCUGUUGUUGUGUGCUGCGCUGCCUGCACUCGCGGGGCGUGUCUGCCAGCAUGAGUUUUGUGUGUGAGAGACGGCGAUGCGAGGGCGCCCUUGUGCGUGGCGCAUCUGCUUUUUAUGUUUCUGUCGCACGCGGGACUGAGGAAAUUAUCGAUGCGGUGGCUUUGUUAUGUGGUCUUUGGCAUGGGUGCUGUUUUCGGCAUUGUGUUGCGCAGACUCUUGUUUUGGGAUGAGGAAAGACUUGUGCUUCCUCUUGUGCUGUUGACAGAGUGUGUGCGGGCGGUGUUGGGAAUGUUGCGCUUGCCGCUUGGCGCACACCACCGGGGAGAUGCUGGCGACAGGGCUGCAAACGGCCCGUCUUGAAACACGGACCAAGGAGUCUAACAUGUGCGCGAGUGUUUUAGCGAGCAUGAAGCUAGGGCGCGCAAUGAAAGUGAGAGGUGGGAUGCAGUGUUGGGAAGUGUGCGUGAGUACACUUUUAACAGCAGCACUCGCAGCACCAUCGACCGAUCUGGAUUGGGGGAGGGGGGAAAAGCACUUUUGUGUGGCUCCACCCUCCUCCGCUGAAGGAUUUGCGUUUUAGCGCAGAUGUUAGGACCCGAUAGAUGGUGAACUAUGCCUGAGUAGGGCGAAGCCAGAGGAAACUCUGGUGGAGGCUCGUAGCGAUCAUGACGUGCAAAUCUGUCGUCGAACUUGGGUAUAGGGGCGAAAGACUCAUCGAACCAUCUAGUAGCUGGUUCCCACCGAAGUUUCCCUCAGGAUAGCUGAGACUUAUUUUUUGAUCUUUUGGUUAGUUUUAUCUGGUAAAGCGAAUGAUUAGAGGCCUUGGGGGAGCCACUUCCCUCAACCUAUUCUCAAACUUUAAAUGGGUAAGGCGGCGCGCUUUCUUUGUUUAUGAAGCGGGCAAUGCUGAAUAACCGAGUCUCAAGUGGGCCAUUUUUGGUAAGCAGAACUGGCGAUGCGGGAUGAACCGAACGCGGAGUUAGGGUGCCGGAAUCGACGCUCAUGAGAACCCACAAAAGGUGUUGGUUGAUAUAGACAGCAGGACGGUGGCCAUGGAAGUCGGAAUCCGCUAAGGAGUGUGUAACAACUCACCUGCCGAAUCAACUAGCCCUGAAAAUGGAUGGCGCUCAAGCGUCGUACCUAUACUCCGCUGUGUGUGGAAGAAAGCGAGCGAAGCGAGCAUUCGUGCUUGUUGCGUCUCAAAACUACAUGUAGCCACACACAAGUAGGUGGGCGUGGAGGUGUUUGCGUGAGAGCAAUCUUUUGAACAAGCCGUGGAAGCCUGUGGCGUGAGCCUGGGUGGAGGGGCCUCCAGUGCAGAUCUUGGUGACAGUAGCAACGAUUCAAAUGAGAGCUUUGAAGACUGAAGUGGAGCAAGGUUCCGUGGGAACAGCAGUUGGCCACGGGUGAGUCGGUCCUAAGAGAUGGGGCAGUCCUGUGUCAAGUGGGGAGUUGUUGCGCGUGUGUGGGUGGUGGUGAUAUUAUCGCCAUGCUUGCACACGUGUUGAAUACCCCAGUCCAUCGAAAGGGAACCAGGUUAAGAUUCCUGGACCAACGCACGCCACAAAGAAUGUUUUGAUAGAGCAGCGGCAACGCGUACAAACUCGGAGACGCUGCCGGGGGCCCUGGAAAGAGUUUUCUUUUCUUUUUAACGAGCUGCAUUGUGGGGAGGAGUAGGGGGAAGAGUGUUAGUUUAUUCCGCGCUCUUCAUCAACCUUCCUCGUCACAUUCUCUGACCCUGGAAUCAGUUUGGCUGGAGAUGGGGUGAGAGGCUCGGCAAAGCACCACUGACCCUUUUUUUGUUGUGGUGUCCGGCGCGUUCCCGGCGGUCCAUGAAAAUCCGAGGGUGUGAAUGGUAGCAGUGUGGGGGGAAGAAGAGAAGCACUUGUGCUAAUCUAUUUUCUCCGCUGCAUGUGGGCGUGGUUGGCCGUACUGAUAACCGCAGCAGGUCUCCAAGGUGAAGAGCCUCUAGUUUGAUAGACGAAUGUAGGUAAGGGAAGUCGGCAAAAUAGAUCCGUAACUUCGGGAUAAGGAUUGGCUCAAGAGGUUGAUUGUGUGUGUGGGGGGUGCGGGUGAAAGGGGGUGUGCUUUUGCAUGCCGUUCUUGCACCUUUACUUUCCAUGCACACUAAAAUUUAGCAACCGAUCUUGAACUGGUACGGACAAGGGGAAUCCGACUGUUUACUUAAAACAAAGCAUUGCGAGGAUAGGCUGUUGCGACGGUGUAGACGCAAUGUGAUUUCUGCCCAGUGCUCAGAAUGUCAACGUGAAGAAAUUCAAGCCAAGCGCGGGAUCAACGGCGGAAGUAACUAUGACUUUCUUAAGGUAGCCAAAUGCCUCGUCAUUUAACUGGUGACGCGCAUGAAUGGAUUAACGAGAUUCCCACUGUCCCUAUCUACGCUCUAGCGAAACCGCAGCCAAGGGAACGGACUUGGCACAAUCAGCGGGGAAAGAAGACCCGCUAGAGCUUGACUCUAGUCCGACCGUGUGAAAAGACACCAGAGGUGUAGCAUAGGUGGGAGCAGGUGUGGGUUUACUUGUGCUUGCGGCCUUGAAAUACCACUACUCUGGUCGUUUUUUUGCUUAUUGAAUGACACGGGGCUGGUGUGGGUGAUUGUGGUGUGCGUAGCGCGCAUUUCUUGUGUGAGCUGUGCGCAUCCAAUCACACAUGUGCACCAUUUCUGGAGAAAGGGAGGGCAGCGUGGAGUGUUUGUGCACUCUAUGUUAUUGCCGAUCCCGACCCGCUUUCAAGACGAGGUCAGGUGGGGAGUUUGGCUGGGGCGGA
rnacentral:rRNA from 1 species